AUCAGGAAACCCCAUCGCAUCGGCGCGCGCAGGCAGUUUCGACUUUCGAGAAAACAAGCACUCCUCUCUCUCUCUCUCUCGCAGUCGAGGCGGAGACGAUUUCGAAGCUCAUUAACACCACCGCCAGCACCACCACCUCUCCUCUCUGUAACAAUCGCCCCCGACUCAAAACUUCGCUGGGUCAUUUGCUUAUUGAUGACAAUUAUGAAUUCGGCACAAGCCAAUGAGGCAAUGAUGAUGGCUUGCUAAUUCAAGCCUCGUUUAUAAGUUGGGUUCAUAAGCUGUGGAUAAGAAGCACGAAAUGAAAAACACGAGGUUUUCAAGUCCAUGGCUCAAGGAUUGCAUGUAACAAGAGUAGGAAGCAGAGUUGGAUGAUCGUUUGUUUAAUCAUUUAGAUUCAUAACGUGACUGGUUCAGUCUUCUUUGACUGCUCAAUUGAGUUUGUUUCCAAACGGCGAACUAUCUAUUUUUUCAACUUCCGCAGAGUUAGAGUCGGGCAGCCCAGAGUCCAUGGAUGUUUUCGCAGAGGGAAUCUCCAAUGCUUUUGCAUGUUCCGUACUGGGUGGUGGCAAUGGGACAGUGACGAUGUCAUGAGGGUGAUAUUUCUGGGUGGACUGCAUUUGAACCACUACAGCUAUAUAGUCCUUGCUUGUUGCUGGACUGUAGUGACACUACUACAGCUGUUUCAUCUCGGAAAUAACUUCUGCUGAUGGUAUAAGAUGCAGAAAGCCAGAACUUUUGGUGACACUAAGUUCAUCCGCAUGGCCUUCCAUUAAACAUGUUUCUCGCUUUCGUUUUGAAUCUCCUCCAAACAACGCGUUCAAAUAGGAAAGGCAAUUCUUAAAAUCAUAUUCUGCUUACAGUGGGUGUCAGUCAAAAACUGGGAAUGUGUAACAUAUUUAGAUGGAUCUGACACCUUGUUAAUUUUCAAAUCCAUUGACUACUAAAGCAUGCAGUAAAAUCAAGUUAUAAGAA